CUCCAGCAUACAUGUAGUAUGUUAGUCAGCUUACACAGUAACGUGUCUGUCAUAAAUAUAAAGGGAAGGGUAAACACCUUUAAAUCCCUCCUUCCCAGAGGAAAAACCCUUUCACCUGUAAAGGGUUAAGAAGCUAAGCUAACCUCGCUAGCACCU